AGGAUUAACGCUGGCGGCGUGCCUAACACAUGCAAGUCGAACGAGGUAGCAAUACCUAGUGGCAGACGGGUGAGUAACGCGUGGUCAACCUACCGUUGAGUGGGGGAUAACUAGCCGAAAGGUUAGCUAAUACCGCAUACGAGUCUCGGGGGCAUCCCUGGGCCUUAAAAGGAGCAAUCCGCUCGAUGACGGGACCGCGUCCCAUUAGCUAGAUGGUGGGGUAACGGCCUACCAUGGCACCGAUGGGUAGCUGGUUUGAGAGAGCGACCAGCCACACUGGGACUGAGAAACGGCCCAGACUCCUACGGGAGGCAGCAGUGAGGAAUUUUCCGCAAUGGGCGAAAGCCUGACGGAGCGACGCCGCGUGUGGGAAGAAGGCCCUUCGGGUCGGUAAACCACUGGUCGAAGGGGACGAUAAUGACGGUACCCUUGGAGGAAGCCCCGGCUAACUACGUGCCAGCGCCGC
rnacentral:rRNA from 1 species